rnacentral:piRNA from 1 species
UUAGACUAGAGUUUACAAGGUGU